rnacentral:lncRNA from 10 species
UGAACACCUAAUCAAAGAAAGCAGAGAUGUGAUGUCUGCCCCCAUAGGAGGUUAUUGACCAGUUGCACUGACAGCUGAAAUAUCCACAAGCCUGAGACACGUCCUGGGCCACGGUCGUGGUAGGAACAGCAUGCUGUGGAAACAGGCGGGUGACACACCACGUCAAUCUGGACCUUUCUAAGGCUUCCUGGGGGAGGUGACACUCCGGAUGGGAUACAGAAGAUCAAACAGAGACUAUUUAAGAGUGUGAGAACAGAGACCAGAGUCAAAGAAAAGCACCUGAGAUGCGUCAGGGCCCACCGCCGGCGCUGAGGAUGGAACAGUGAACACAGCAAGCCACGUCCUUCCUCCUAGGGCCCAUAUUCUGAUGGAAGGAGUCAGACGAAAGGCAGAGAAAUGCAAUAGGUAAGACGUUAGAGGUGACAGCUAUAAGGAAAAAUAAAUCAGAACAAAAGCGGUGGCUGGGACUUUCCGGGAUAAACAAAACUCCAGAGGCAGAACUCAGAGGCCCUGUGGGAGAAGCCCUGCUCCGGUGCGAGCACAGCAAGGCUGCCGCGCCCCCCACUUAGCGAGGGAGGAAAGAAUCACAGAGGACGAGGUCAGGGAAAGAAGGGGCCAGGGGUGAGCCCUUGUGGUCCAGGAGGUGACCCAGCGUGGCUGACUGUGACCAGCAUCCUGUGGCUGCUGUGUGGAGUGUAGAUUGCAAGCGUGCAAGGGUUUCGAA